AAUUAUUAUCAUAUUAAUCAGCUCGAUUAUCAUCGCUAGCUCGACUACUGGUGGUAGGACGUAUUGUGCGUCCGCACGGGUCGGUACCACCACCCUGCCUAUUUCUGUCGUGAAUCAGUAAUGCGUUUCGGUUAGAAGAGUGGGUCAGCCGUUGUACUAUAAAAACUGAGACCUUAGAAGAACUCAUGUCUCAAGGUGGGUUGCAGCGUUUAGAUGUCUGUGGGUUCCGGUCAACACAUAAAAUCAAGUUUUUAAGUCCUGAACAUCUGAAAUAUCGUGUAAAGGAUCAGAAUGGUUAUUUAUUCUACUAGUUAUAUGGUAUGGGUAUUCUAUUUUGUAAACUAAAUAAUUGUACACCCUGUAACCCCGUUAAUUAUGUUUACGUAAUGACGUAGCACCGUGAGUUAAGCCAUUAAUAAACGUGAAGCCUUGUUUAAAACAUAUAAUCGUUCUUCUUAUGAACUACUUAACGUGUUUGUUUAAGUCUUAGAACAUUUAUAAACAUCUCGGAAAGAAAACACUACGUUUGUUUAAUUUGAAUGUUAUUUAAACUCUAUGGACCGCUCUAUCCACGUUUUUGUUAUCAUUUGUCGUAAUGCUUGGCUUCGGAAAUAUACGGAAUUGAAAUGAACAUAGGGGAGACCGGGGCAAGAUGAAGUUCGGGGCAGGACGGGAAAUAAGCUUUUGUCCAUGAAUGGUAAUCGUGUUCGGACCGGUAACGGCGCCAUUUGCACGAAAUUCAGACUGCGCAAGUGCGUCCGAGCAAAGCGAACGUAUUGGAUCUCGUUUUUGCGUUGUAUAGGAAAAAAACUGAUUUUGCAAGUGUUCUUAUCCGGUUUUUGGUUAACAAACUGAUGUGCAGACAUAUACAAUGGUUCGGAACUAUAAACGAAAAACAGAUCGUGGCAAAUGGGACCCUGAAGUUCUGGGUCUUAUGGGUUCUUAAUAACAGGAUGGGGCUUCCUCGAGCCUCUGCUACAUAUGAUGUUCCGCCGCCGUGUAAGAAAAUCUCGUGAUACUGUGGAUGACGACACUGAUUCCGGUAACUACUAAGUAUGCAGGAAGCACGGUUAACCGGAAAAUAACUUCGUGUAAUAGCUUAUCAGUUGGCUCAGCGAAAUCAUAUAGAUAGCCCACUUAAUGAAGAAACCGACAUGACAGGAGAAGAUUGGCGUAAAAAACGAAUACACAAAGUUGGAAAUAAGAAGAUAAAAAGAACUGAAAACAAGCACCAAGCUAAAAGACUCGCCAAAAAAAUCGAAUCGGAAUAUAGUUCAUCUUCAUUAGAGGACGGUGACUGGGCCUGCAUCUAUUGUGGUUACUUAUACUAAGAGUCAACCGGGAGUUGGGCUAUCUGCAGUAUUUGCCAUGGUUGGACACACGAUUCCUGUGCCGAAGUAGAUGAAGAAGACGACGAGGCACACAUUUGUGAACGCUGUCUACCCGAUUAAAAUACGUACUCCUUUUGCCCCAUAGCAUUUCCCAUCUUACCCCGUCCAUGGGGCAAGACGGGAAAUUCGCCACAUUAUCGUUAAUCAUUAUUUGUCAAAAAACUUCUGUGAUUUUGCUUGAUAAAAUUAUUAAUUUUAAGAAACAAAUGUAUAAGCGUUACUUAUUUUCUUAAAGAAUUUAAUUAAACAGUAUAAUUGUCUUUGUA